AUUCCUUGUUAUUUCGCUCUUUCAAAAGGAAGUAUUUUAACAACUGUAAUUUUGUGGAUGCCUCUCAGAAGACUGGAGCUUCCUGUGUCUGGCGGAGUAUUCUUUCGGCUCGGGAGGUUAUUUUGAGAGGUAUGAAAUGACGUAUUGGUGAUGGUUCGUUAAUUAAAUGUUGGACGGAUAAUUGGCUUUUUGCGACUUCUAAUUUUUCUGUCACAUCCAAGCCUUCUGCCUCCAAAAUUUCUUUAGUGGCUGAGCUUAUAAACCAUUCCACCCACAAGUGGAAUACUGCCAAGGUGUGCCACUUUUUCAAUCAACGGGACCGUAAACUUAUUCUUCAGAUGCCUCUAAGUUCUUUUGGCGGUCCUGAUUGUAAGGUAUGGGGCGCUUCUUCAAAUGGAAAGUUUUCCGUCAAGAGUGCUUAUUAUGUUGCUUUAUCAGUCCUUAACGUCAAGUCCAGUCUAGUUCCAGAUGUUGGGUGUAGCUUUGAUGCCAACAAAAAUAUCAUGUGGAAGCAAGUGUGGUCGAUUCGUGCUCAUUCGAAAAUCCAAUUAUUUUUGUGGCCAUGUCUUCAUGACCGAAUCCCAGUAAACAACAAUCUUUUUUUGCAUGGGAGUUCAACAGUUUCUUCUUGCCCUUUUUGUGAUUGUUCCGUCGAGACGGUUGAUCAUCUUUUAUGUAUCUGCCCAUUCGCUUGUCUGGUUUGGAAGCUAAGUCCUCUUCUGAUGGACUUUAGUGGUCUUUCUCCUUCCUUUUGGCCAAAGCGUUGGGUUGAUCUUUGUGCUGACUGGAAUUUGACUGAGGUCCCGUUGGAUUGUUGUAGCAUGGCGGCUUUUAUUUGUUGGACAAUUUGGAAGUGUCGUAAUGAUCUUGUCUUCAAUCAGAAAAAUUGGGAUCCAUUCGAUGCGGCACAUGGAGCAUUUACUGACUAUUAGGAAUUUCGUGCAAUUUCUACACAAUAGGUCUUGCUUUCUCCUUCUUAUCCUCCUCCUGUUCCUUUGUCAAAAAAAUGGUCUGUGCCGAAGUUGGGUUUUCUUGUUGGAAAAGUAAACUCUCAACAAAGCUAUAAAGUUUGACAAGAUGUAUUAAUAAAAUAAGUGGUUGUAACAUUAAAAUAGCAACAAAUGAAUAAGAUUUGUGUCAGUGAUACAUCUUAUCAACAUAGCAAAUACGUAUAUUUUUUUAUCAUCCAGUGAACUAUAUCUACGGUGAGGAACAUUUUGACAAAAUGUAUCAGUAAAAAAUUAAGUUGUAAACAAAAUAAAACAGACUACCCUUACACGGCUGUGGAGAGAAUAUAUCUUUUCACCAAUAAAAAGACGACACAUCAUUACAUUGGAUCACUAUAAUCACAAAUACUAUUCAACUUCUAAAUUGAGCCAUGGUACUUAGUAAGAAGAGACAAAUUUUCUUAUUUAAUACUUUAUUCUUAUACUAUUUUUAAUUUUUAUUUACUCCCAAGAAAUAGGAUAUUAGAGGGUUAAAAAGCCUAAAAUCUUGCUCAUCAUGAUAAUAUAAUUUUUUUAAUAAUAUUAUUCAUAAAAUUAUUGAUUGCAAUUAUAUAUUAAGAUAAUUAUCUGAAAAAAAAAAAUAAAAACUAUAUAUUAAGAGUAUUAGUGGAAUAUGUAGCAAACUUAACAUUAAUGUUAAUUGAAUGAAAAGACGAACCAGAAUCAGCACAGCAACCAAAUAAGCCGAUCAUAGUUACAUAUAUGGACUAGGUAAAUGCAAUGUACUAGAGAGAGAGAGAGAGAGAGAGAGAGAGAGAAAGAAAGAGAUGUGGAUUUUCAUUACAGUGACUAUGAUUAGACUUGGGUUUACGAGUGACUGAGAAAGUAAAAAGGUGAAGAAGUGCAGUCUACAUAUCGGAGGAGUCCACAUAGGAAAUGAAAAAGGUUCAAAAGCCUGUCAUAAAUGUUCACGCAAGGAGAUACGAAUCAUAUAAAAGGGUGAAGAAGUGCAGUCUACAUAUCUGAGGAGUCAGCAACAGCAAGAGUAGCUUCAGAAAUCUAGGCCCUGCUUGGAUUGGAUUUGAGAAAACAGUUUUCUGGUUUCAUAGUGACAAAAAACAAGAGACUGUAUUUUACUUCUGCUUAGAUCCAUUUUGUGGAAACAGUUUUUGAAAAACUGAAAACUGAUAAUUACAGAUUUUAGAGAACAAUAAAAAGGUGUUCUCACGAUUCUUGAGUUAUGAUUCUCACUUUUUAGGAAACACGGAGAACAUCUCAUACUUAAAAAAAUCACGUUGAAGGGCGUCGUUUAAAACAUCAUCGUCCUAACCUUAUCAAUUUUUCCAUCUGAGUCGUACACUCCUCCUCCUCUAUCUUCUCUUUCUAUGCGUAGAAGUGUUCUCAGUUUGGAUCAUCGAAGUAAUCCAACCUCAUCAAGAAGCUUCUCCGGGUCGUUCCUCACUCUCUCUCUAACAGAACAUAACUCAGCUUUUUAUCCAGAUUUCUUCGUCGAUUAGAUUUCAUCUUCUCUGGAUUUCUCACUGGUGUUGGGCUAGCGAUCGACUGGUUUAAAGACACUCUUUCAGGUACUUGUCAGUUCCAGACUUAGACUUGAUAGUGCUGAGCGGAGACUACUACUCACUCUUCCGACGACGUAGGACUUUCCUCCAUGGUUUACUCUGGAUAUUCUUUAAGUAGCUUCCAUUACAAUUUGGAUUAUUAUUAGGGGUCCAUUAGAGAUGGAUUCCCGAGUUGUAUUAGAAUUGGAGAAAUUGGGUGUAUCAGACUAAUUAUUUAUUUAUAAAAUUUUAUUCUGAGGUUUCUAGUUUUGGUUUA